rnacentral:rRNA from 1 species
AGAGUUUGAUCAUGGCUCAGGACGAACGCUGGCGGCGCGCUUAACACAUGCAAGUCGAGCGAGAACCAGGGCUUCGGCCCUGGGGAAAGCGGCGAACGGGUGAGUAACACGUGAGUCAUCCACCCUCGGUACCGGGAUAGCCCGGGGAAACCCGGAUUAAUACCGGAUGGCCCAACAGCUCUUCGGGGCGGUUGGAAAAGGUAGCUUCGGCCUCCGACCGAGGACGAGCUCGCGGCGGAUUAGCUUGUUGGCGGGGUAACGGCCCACCAAGGCGACGAUCCGUAGCUGGUCUGAGAGGACGAUCAGCCACACUGGGACUGAGACACGGCCCAGACUCCUACGGGAGGCAGCAGUGGGGAAUCUUGCGCAAUGGGCGAAAGCCUGACGCAGCGACGCCGCGUGCGGGAAGAAGGCCUUCGGGUUGUAAACCGCUUUCAGGAGGGACGAAGCCACUCGGGUUAAUAGCCCAGAGGGUGACGGUACCUCCAGAAGAAGCCCGGCUAACUACGUGCCAGCAGCCGCGGUA